GAUCAUUCCCCAGCUUGUCACUGUGACGGUCUUGUCGAGGUGAUUGGACUUCAGGGAGUAAUGCACCUGGGUCAAAUUCAAAGUGGAAUCAGGACUGGUAUUCGGCUAGCACAGGGAGCCCAGAUCAACAUCAAAUUAAAAUCAGAGAUGCCCGUACAAAUAGAUGGUGAACCUUGGAUGCAGCCUCCUGGUAAUGUGAUUGUACGGCCCAUACCAACACAGGCGCUGAUGCUAUCGAAGAGGAAGGUUAAAGUUAAAAA